rnacentral:tRNA from 9 species
CACUAGCUCAGUUGGUAGAGCGCAACCUUGCCAAGGUUGAGGUCACGAGUUCGAACCUCGUGUGUCGCUCCA